rnacentral:rRNA from 1 species
UAAGUACACGCGGCCGGUACAGUGAAACUGCGAAUGGCUCAUUAAAUCAGUUAUGGUUCCUUUGAUCGCUCAUCCGUUACUUGGAUAACUGUGGCAAUUCUAGAGCUAAUACAUGCAAACGAGCGCUGACCCUCCGGGUAUGCGUGCAUUUAUCAGACCCAAAACCCAUGCGGGGCGUCCUCUCGGGGGCGCCCCGGCCGCUUUGGUGACUCUAGAUAACCUCGAGCCGAUCGCUGGCCCUCCGUGGCGGCGACGUCUCAUUCGAAUGUCUGCCCUAUCAACUUUCGAUGGUACUUUAUGUGCCUACCAUGGUGACCACGGGUAACGGGGAAUCAGGGUUCGAUUCCGGAGAGGGAGCCUGAGAAACGGCUACCACAUCCAAGGAAGGCAGCAGGCGCGCAAAUUACCCACUCCCGACUCGGG